AUGGAUGGAAGUAGUGCAACGUCGCCUUUAGGGCAGUCUACAGUUCCAAUAAUCGCAAACUGUGUACCAACAUUAUCAGCCGUGGAAUCGGUCAACAGUGCUCAAAAUCAAGAUUUCAGCGAUGCCACCUCAUUUGCAGAGAUUAAUUCCCCAAUGCUUCUCAUUAAUGAAUCUAGUACACCGAAGAAGAAACAAUCCUUCUCUCAAGAGGGUUCUUUGUACAAACCCCAGUGUGACGAGGAACUGAAGCCCAAAGUAGGGAUGAUAUUUGAUGACAUUGGCUCGGUACUAGAAUUUUACAGGACAUAUGCUCACAAUGUCGGAUUCGGUGUACGUCUCGGACAACAAAGGGUCGUCAAUAAUGUGCUUAAGUGGAAGAGCUCUUUUCAGUAA
rnacentral:rRNA from 1 species